CGGCGGACGGGUGAGUAAUGUCUGGGAAACUGCCUGAUGGAGGGGGAUAACUACUGGAAACGGUAGCUAACACCGCAUAACGUCGCAAGACCAAAGAGGGGGGACCUUCGGGCCUCUUGCCAUCAGAUGUGCCCAGAUGGGAUUAGCUAGUAGGUGGGGUAACGGCUCACCUAGGCGACGAUCCCUAGCUGGUCUGAGAGGAUGACCAGCCACACUGGAACUGAGACACGGUCCAGACUCCUACGGGAGGCAGCAGAC
rnacentral:rRNA from 1 species